rnacentral:rRNA from 1 species
GACGAACGCUGGCGGCGUGCUUAACACAUGCAAGUCGAGCGGAGCGGCGAACGGGUGCGUAACGCGUGAGUAACUGCCCCCCUCUCUGGGAUAACAGUUGGCAACGGCUGCUACUACCGGCUCGUGGGGGAUGACUCGCGUCCUCUCAGCUUGUUGGUGGGGUAGUGGCCUACCAAGGCGACGACGGGUAGCCGGCCUGAGAGGGCGACCGGCCACAUGUGGCUGAGAGAAGGACCAAACCCCUACGGGAGGCAGCAGUGGGGAAUAUUGCACAAUGGGGGAAACCCUGAUGCAGCAACGCGCGUGCGGGAUGACGGCCUUCGGGUUGUAACCCGCUUUCAGCCAUGACGCGGUAGUGGCAGAAGAAGCACCGGCUAACUACGUGCCAGCAGCCGCGGUAAUUC